CAGGCAGAGACCAAAUGGGCACAGCUCUCGGUGUUGCCUGCCUGCUCAGAGGGUGCCCUGUGGUUUCCGAUCUCACCAAAAUGCUUUCACUGGGUAUACAGCCAGUAUUAAGAAACAAGUUAAGAGCCUGCAUUUAUUGGUUUGGUGAAAACUCUGGAGUAUUCUCAGGGUUCAAGUUCAAGACCCCUCCUUCCAUGACAUGCCCAUCUCCCUACCAAGAGCCAGACUUGAGGAGCUAUUUAUUGGCAGCACCAUGUCUGCUCACUGUUCUCUUCCUGUUUGCCAAGUGGUUCCUGUGGGUGAGCUGGUUACUGAAACCACACUUCUUGACUCAAUAGAAAGGAUAUCUCAGACCCCCUGAAUGAAGGCGGGAAAAUGGCCAAGUAAAAUAAUCUAAGAAGACAGAAGGACUUAGCAAGCAAUUGUAUUAAGGAGGCUAUGCUCCACUACAUGGAACUCUGCUCUAUUCCCGGCAGAAGCCUCAGUAACAUGGCUGGACCUCACAGAUGGUUAACUGGACACAGGGCAUAGAUAUGCCAAAGAUACAUGAGGAGCCCAAUGAAUCAAUGCAUGGGAAGUCUACUGUGUCUCCAUGGAAACUUAGGAAAGGCUAUGGCAUUAAGUAUUUUUAAUAGAAUAUAAUCAAAUAGUAGUAUAAAUAUGUCCUUUUUAGAACAA